UACAGAGGGGGCAAGCGUUGUUCGGAAUUACUGGGCGUAAAGGGCGCGUAGGCGGCCGGUUAAGUCAAACGUGAAAUCCCCGGGCUCAACCCGGGAACUGCGUCCGAUACUGGCAGGCUUGAAUCCGGGAGAGGGAUGCGGAAUUCCAGGUGUAGCGGUGAAAUGCGUAGAUAUCUGGAGGAACACCGGUGGCGAAGGCGGGUCUCUGGGCCGAUACUGACGCUGAGGAGCGAAAGCAUGGGUAGCGAACAGG
rnacentral:rRNA from 1 species